UUAAAGAGGUUAAAGAGUCUUCUGACGAACCUCCAGAAUCUGGCCUCCUUGACCUCACUGGAGAAGAAUAAAUGGGAGGUCGUCCUUGUACAUAUCAUACAGAUUCAGGAAGUCCUUGAAAUGAAUUCCCCAGAUUAGGGGUACACUCUGAAGAAGCAUGAUCUCUUUUAGAACUUGUAAGGAACAAGUCUAAUACAGUUGUACACUAGAUAACUGUACUAGACUGGUUGUUAAAUGUGCCUUUGUCUUGAAAUGACAAUGCUAUCAAUUAUAUAAUGAUAAUGAAAAAAGCCAUUUUAAGCAAUCUUCUAUUUAAAAACUUAAGAUUCCCGAUUCAUAAUAUACCCCCUUUUAACAUUUCUCUUCUUACGAAUAAUGGAUAUUGAAUAUAUCUCUGUUUCUCUGUCUAAAAAUUGAAAAUUUUUUAUUGCAGUCUAUCUAGAAAGAAAAUUGACGAUUAUUUCCUCAUUAUUGAGCAACAAUAAGUUUGAAAGGGGACCGUUGUGAAUCAGACAAAUAAUUAAAUUAUGUCAGCAGUCCAUUCAACUCCUUUAGUUUCUCUAUCAAUAAUUUGAGAAUUAUGAAUAAAUGAACUUUCUUAAACUAA